GUGAGGAAUAUUGGUCAAUGGGCGAGAGCCUGAACCAGCCAAGUCGCGUGAAGGAUGAAGGUUUUAUGAAUUGUAAACUUCUUUUGCAGGGGAAUAAAGUACGGUACGUGUACCGUUUUGUAUGUACUCUGCGAAUAAGGAUCGGCUAACUCCGUGCCAGCAGCCGCGGUAAUACGGAGGAUCCAAGCGUUAUCCGGAUUUAUUGGGUUUAAAGGGUGUGCAGGCGGGUUGAUAAGUCAGCGGUGAAAGUUUGCAGCUUAACUGUAAAAUUGCCGUUGAAACUGUCGAUCUUGAGUGCAAAUGAGGUAAGCGGAAUGUGUUGUGUAGCGGUGAAAUGCUUAGAUAUAACACAGAACACCGAUUGCGAAGGCAGCUUACUGGGAUGCAACUGACGCUCAUGCACGAAAGCGUGGGGAUCAAACAGGAUUAGAUACCCCUGUAGUCC
rnacentral:rRNA from 1 species